GACGAAGGGGGCUAGCGUUGUUCGGAAUUACUGGGCGUAAAGCGCGUGUAGGUGGUUGUCGUAGUCAGGCGUGAAAGCCUUGAGCUCAACUCAAGAAAUGCGCUUGAUACUGGGCAGCUAGAGGACCGGAGAGGAUAGUGGAAUUCCCAGUGUAGUGGUGAAAUACGUAGAGAUUGGGAAGAACACCAGUGGCGAAGGCGGCUAUCUGGACGGUUUCUGACACUAAGACUCGAAAGCGUGGGGAGCAAACAGG
rnacentral:rRNA from 1 species